GCAUGUGGGUGAGAACCUCGGGAUAAUCUUAUCUAUGCGUUUAUGACCAAGGUCCUCUUUCAGAGCUACCUGUUCAGCUGUUCCCGACUGGAGGCAGCUGUUCCCGACUGUUACCGUGAAUGCAGCAUUCACGGAGAGGAGCGAGAACUCCUCUUUCCCUCACUGACUGCUUUAUAGGAGGCACUUGACAUGCAAAAUAGGCUCCUUCUGCCCAAAGUGGAGUAAACGUUUUAGUGUGGUGGUUCAGUAUUUAUUUUCUGGCGUCCAGUGGCUCUGUCAUGGUGAUAAAAAGAGUGGGCAAGGAAAAGAUGCAGUCCGCUCCAUUUCUGGCUGCGUCCGCUGCCAUGUGGAUGGUGUGCGGGGUGAGUUAGAUAAGGGAGGGGUCAGAGCACUUAACUUGCCGGAGCCAAGAAAGCGCUGGUACUUGAUGGCUGUUUUAGAGAAGGAAACAACAUUCCUCUGAUGCUAACUGGUGCUUCUGAGAGCAAAUUUGUCAGGAGAGAAGCAUGGCUUCUUGAGACAAACCCAGGCUGCUAAGAAUGUAAGCUCUGGUCUCACUUUGCGUUCCAGCCACACGCCUAAGUGCUCCUUCCUAUGACCAAAGGUAAGAAAGAAAUGCAAUUCAGGCUCCUGGGCACCUUCGUUUUUGUUCACCUUAUUUGUGUUGUAGCUUCUCGCCGCUGAAGUCCGCGGCCCUCCAUCUGGCUGUGUUAUGUACUGAAACCGAUAAACACACUCAGGAGCACCAAUCCACGGAAAAGGGAGGAUCAAGCCAGCGAUGGUGGUUCACAGUUACCGCUCGCAUAUAACUAGAGGGGUUGUGGCCCGUUUGGGGAUAAACCCCACCUAGCUGAAAGCUCUGAGACUGAAGUGAAAUUCUGGGGUUGGAGGAGAGGAAAGAGGGUGUGGCCGUUGCUCUGUGGUCUACGUAUUUUCCCCUCUAUAGUGGCUGGGAUGAGGAAAGCCAGAGAGUGGAGGCAGGAGCCCCGUUUUUCACCCCACUGCCACACCCUUCAUGGCCAGUGGCUCUAGGUUUAUCUGCUGGAGCUUAAAUCCCACAAAUACUGAUUUAAAAUUCACUGGGAGAAAGGCAGUGCCUCCCAGCCUGAGCCGGGGCUCAAUGAAUGUUAAGAUAUGACUGAUUAUAUCCUCAUUCCAUUAGGGUAGCCAAAAAGGAAAAGAGCCAGCGCCAUUGGGACAAAGGUCACCGACCUCUCAACCGCCCUGCCCCUUCCACAAAAAGCCUGAGAUGUUAAGUAGGUGGGGGAGGGAGGAGAGGCGGGAGCUCAGGGUUUGAGGAAGGCCAGGCAGUCUUUGCCCCUCGAAUAGCAACGCGAUGAGCUCAGCCCCCUCAGUCCAGGCCGAGAGCCAGACGGCGGUCACGUGGCCGCGGGGCGCCCCGGGCGCAGGGUCGUCGGCACAGCUGAGGGGUGCGCGCCGAGCUCCGCCGGGCGAAGGAAUUCCAGCCCCGUGAAAUGGCUCCAGAGUGUCUACCGUGACUCGCUCAGGGGCUGUGGAGGGCAAGAGAGUGUGUGCGCUUGAGCCGCUAGAGGGAGGGCGUUUUGUUCCUCAGCCGUCAGACGCGAGCUCUGCAGGCCGAAAACCCAGACCCGUGGCAGCCGACAUCGGGAAGCCCCUGCGCGGAGGUUUAGCCUCUCGGGGCACACAGGCUGGGUCACAGGGGUCUUGAAUUUGGGGUUCCUCGUAAGACUGGAGCGCAGGCCGUCGCCUGUGCUGGCAGCGCCCUCAUUGUGAGCGUUGUUGGUCAGACUGGGGAGUGACUGAAAUGUGACUUUGAAGGUUCAGGGAAGCUGAGGGCGGCUAGGGAGGAAACCGCGCGCCUUGCCAGACCACGUGACUCGGCGCGAGAAAGCGAUGGCAGGUCUCUGGGCUGCUCAGAAUUGAAAACGUGGCUUUGAAUUAAAUAAUAGGGUUUUUAUGCGACUCUGAGAGACUUAAGAUUUGAUGUAGGCUAUUCCAGUGCUCACACAAGACCCACACCAUAAACCAGACUGCAGGGAUUUCCUAUUCUCUAGUAUCCUUGAAGCCACCUGCCCUACUUGAACACCUCCAGGGAUCAGGCACUGCCUGCCUCACAGGGCAUCAGGUAUCUUUAGGGAACAGCUCUCAAACUUGUUUGCAGAGGAGUCCAAAUUGUGGCUUUGAAAUUCCCACUUACUGGCCUUAGUGCUGCCAACCGGGAUGCCACAGAGUCAGUCAGUCAUACUUCAAGUGUGGAAACGUGACUCCAUGGCUCUGCUCUUCUCUAGGUUGAGCAUUCCUUCCAGCUUUAACUCUUCCUCGUCAGCCCUGGUCACUCCACAUCAUCAACUCACCUUCCAGAUGUACCACAGUUGACUCAGGAUAAAACCCAAACCGGAGGAAGAACUUGGGACUUCACCUGUCUCCCCUGCCCUGCCGGUUCCUUUUUGACUUCUCAGACAUACCACAAUUCUUAGAACUUGUAGCCAGUGAAAAUCCCUACGUUGCUUUAUUUUUUAAAUGACAGUGUUUAUGCUAAAGACAUGCAAGAUAAUAUGAAGUCAUUUUAAAAUGAAGACAUUUUAAUGACAUGGAAAAUGCUUAGGAUACAACGUGAAUAAAAAGUGUUAGGAACAGAACUGUAGAUACAGUAUGAUCAAAAGUAUGAAAUAAGUAUAAAACCCAAGGAGAGGCUGGGCACAGUGGCUUAUGCCUGUAAUCUCAACACUGGGAAGCCAAGGCCAGAGAAUUGAUUGAGGCCACGAGUUUGAGACCAGCCUGGGCAAUAUAGCAAGAGUCAUCUCUACAAGAAAAUUUUAAAAAUUAGCCUGGCAUGGUGGCACACACUUGUAGUCCUAGCCACUUGGGAGGCUCAGACAGGAUUGCUUGAGCCCAGGAGUUUGAGGUUGCAGUGGCUAUUAUGUUCACGCCACUACACUGUAGCCUGGGUGACAGAGAGAUACACUGUCUCAAGAAUAAAUAACAAGGAGAAAGUACUUCAAAAUGCUUAUCAAGUGGGAGGAUUAUAGAAAGUGUGUAUUUUCUCAUUUAUACUUCCCUGAAUGAUUUUUCCAGUUUUCAACCAUGAAAACAUUUUAUGAUCAAGAAAAAAUAUUCUUAAAGAGUGUCGUCACUUUAUCCUGAAAUUAUGCAAGUCGCUGUGCUCAUAUUCCAACUAAGCACAUUUGAUCGAUUUUUUUGUGUGUUUAAAAGAUAACUGCCCCAAGCAAUACAGACACAAAGAUGAUGUGAUAUGGUCCCAGUCCUCAAGGGACAAUCUUAGAGACACAAGUCUAUAAGUGACAAUAUUAUAAGGAGAAGUAAGAAAAGAUCUAAAUAAAGAGCUUUGGGAGUUCUGUGAGGGGGCGAAGAUAAUGAAAACAUCUCUCCUGAGAUUCUCAGUAUUUCCACAUUUCCAACCAGUUCCUUUUUUACUGAUCAGAAUUCACUUGAGAGCAGCCAUUUUCCUCACGGGUUCCUCUACCUUCUGAGAGAUGAAAUUGUCAGGCAGACAGACAAAGUCUUUGAUAGCUCUGCCCUUGCCAGAAUGAGACUUGGGGCAGAUGUCCAAAGAGUUGACAUUGCUGUCACUUCUGUUCCGAAAAUACUGGAAUGUGUAAGAAGAAAGAACUGUCCUUUUAGAAAAUUAAAAAAAAAAAAUCAAGUAGGGUGUGGGAUACUUUCCAAGUAAUGUCAUUUUGACUUCUUUUACCCUUGGUCAUGUGUUCUCCACACAUCAGAUUAUGGAUUUGCAAACACCUGUAUAGUUUUCCCAUGCCCUUCAUAUAUCUUGAGAACUAUUUGUUAUUUUCUUCAGGGAAGCCUAGGCAGGAAUCCCAUUUUAUCCACUUUGUAACUCAUGUCUUUGACACAUGUUCAAGACCAUAAAUAUUGUUCCUGGCCUCCUAGCCAGGAACAACAGUUUUUCCCAAGAAAUACGUGAAGGAACUUCCAUUACUGUUAUUUUCUCCCUAACAUUUAUUCAAUUUUAUUGAUAAGAUUUUGUAUCCUUCAACUUAAUUCUUCCAAUGAUCUGGGUUUUUUGUUUUGUUUUAUUUUGUUUUACAAACCUGUAUUUUACGAAGAUUUGAGGCAACUGUAUAGGAAACACAAUUAAUUACAAACAUAGAAAUCUGGACUUGAUAAAUUAACAGGGAAGAGACAUAAGGAGUACACAGAAUGUAGCUCUAUAGGCCAAAAGUUCUCCACCAUCACUACAGUUAAACUUCAAUAAUUAUGUUUCCUGGCAGCCAAGGUGAAAAGGGAGAAAAGAACUUGCAUCUGUAGCUCUUACUGUCAAAAAGAAUAAAGCCUGCCAGAUUCUCUAGAGAAAGAUAGUAUUUACUAGCUUUGUACAGGGGCUGCUGCAGGGGGUACAGGGCAGUGUCCACCACAUUUCUCCACCAACACAAUGACAAUUUCCCAAGCCUGUUUCAGAUAGGACUCAUUCAUAAAAGUCAAGGGCGGCACAGCAAGGCACCAUUUCGUGAUAGUGAUUCUGGUAGGCUAUAGACUCAUAAUAGGUAUUCUGAUCUCGUCACAUGUUCUUAGGUGAUAUACCUUAUACCUCUCACAGAGCCCAUUGCUAUGACUCUGAAGGACAAAACAGCUCUGCAACAGCAAAAAUGUUCUGCAUCCUCCUUUUAUUUCCACAUUCGGCCCUUCACAUGGGAAAAGAGAUGCAAGCCACAAGUCCUCCUGCCAUUUACUGAGCACUUCAUGUUAUACCUAAGACACCAACCAGUUUCUUCCAUUCCACCCAAAGCAGCAGCUCAGAGGUGAGUCCCUGAGCUGGCUGAUUUGGGCAGUCGCUCCCUCCUCUGGCCAGUGAGUCAGGAGGUAAGAUGAUGACCCUUUCCAUUACCUAAUACUGUAGCUAGGGCUUUCACAAAUCAUAGUGCUUUUUUAUUCUGCCAUCAAAGGACCCUUGAGAGCCGAGGAGAGAGAAUAGAGAGCCCCAGGGAUGCAAGGCAGAGAUAGCCCAGUGUGGCCCACCAUAAACAUAAAAUUUCCGAAAAUUCUCGUGCUUUGUUCUAAAUUAAUGGGAAUUUUGUGUUUACCUGAUAAUGUUUAUUUUUUCCCAAAGUGGGUAUACCAUUUGAUUUAUGAAAUAUUUUUAAAUUUUGAAACACAAAAGUUGCAAGUACAACACAAAGAACUUGUAUCCUAAUUUACCUGAGAGCAGAUCACAGAACAAAUGCUCCAUUACCUGCUAAAAACAAGGACAUUCUCUUACAUGACCACAACACAACCAUCAAAGCAACACCGACUCAUUACUACCAACUAAACCUCAGACCCCAGUCAAGUUUCACACAUUAAUUGUCAUGUCUCUUAAGUUUCUCUCAGUCUGAAAUAGCUCCUCAGUCUUUCUUUGACUUUCAUGACUUUGACACAGUUGAAGAUUAUGAGACUGUGAUUUUGCAGAGUGUCUCAGAUUGGUUUGUUUGAAGUUUCUGCGUGGUCCAAUUUUGGCAGGAAUAUCAACAAAGUGAAGCUGUGUUCUCCUCACUGCACCCCAUCAGGAGAAUUCCUCACUGAUUAAAAUCUGGUUACAAAACAAGGGACCUAGAGAUGUUCACUUCGCUACUUCUCUGCAGAUGCCUCCUGCUGCUUCCAGCUUUUCUCCUUUAAAGCAGGGUGAAUCCAAAUCAUGGUCUCAGCCCUGAAGGAGGCACCAAAGCAGUUUCACUGCCCUGUGAAAAGCUUCUAGAGGAGCUCAUCUGAAUGCUUGAAGAAACCAGCCGCCCUUGCAAUUACCUAAAAGGAAUUGAGUCAUUUUAGCAAGACGUUAUUUCUGCCAUCCACGGUCACAAUCAUCUCUUUGAAAAAUAAAUACUCUUGGUUUGUG